UCGAGAAUCUUCCGCAAUGGGCGCAAGCCUGACGGAGCGACGCCGCGUGGAGGACGAAUGCCUUCGGGUUGUAAACCGCUUUCAGCAGGGACGAAAUUGACGGUACCUGCAGAAGAAGGCCCGGCCAACUACGUGCCAGCAGCCGCGGUAAUACGUAGGGGCCUAGCGUUGUCCGGGUUUAUUGGGCGUAAAGAGCUCGUAGGCGGUUCGGUAAGUCAGGUGUGAAAUCUCCACGCUCAACGUGGAGGCGCCACCUGAAACUGCCGUGACUCGAGUCCGGUAGGGGAGUGUGGAAUUCCCGGUGUAGCGGUGAAAUGCGCAGAUAUCGGGAGGAACACCAGUGGCGAAGGCGGCACUCUGGGCCGGUACUGACGCUGAGGAGCGAGAGCGUGGGGAGCGGAACAGGGAUUAGAUACCCUGGUAGUCCACGCCGUAAACGUUGGGCACUAGGUGUGGGGACUCUAUCGACGGGUUCCGUGCCGUAGCUAACGCAUUAAGUGCCCCGCCUGGGGAGUAC
rnacentral:rRNA from 1 species